rnacentral:rRNA from 1 species
CCUACGGGAGGCAGCAGUGGGGAAUAUUGGACAAUGGGCGCAAGCCUGAUCCAGCCAUGCCGCGUGAGUGAUGAAGGUCUUAGGAUUGUAAAGCUCUUUCACCGGUGAAGAUAAUGACGGUAACCGGAGAAGAAGCCCCGGCUAACUUCGUGCCAGCAGCCGCGGUAAUACGAAGGGGGCUAGCGUUGUUCGGAAUUACUGGGCGUAAAGCGCACGUAGGCGGAUAUUUAAGUCAGGGGUGAAAUCCCAGAGCUCAACUCUGGAACUGCCUUUGAUACUGGGUAUCUUGAGUACGGAAGAGGUGAGUGGAAUUCCGAGUGUAGAGGUGAAAUUCGUAGAUAUUCGGAGGAACACCAGUGGCGAAGGCGGCUCACUGGUCCAUUACUGACGCUGAG